rnacentral:misc_RNA from 1 species
ACGUAUACUUCCGGAGUGUUUUGGUUCAGACUGAGACUUGUUAUCAGUGGCCUUAAUUACACCUUUAACCACACAUUAACCCUAUAUCUGUAACUAAAAAGACUCAAGUAACUAGCUACAUUGAUCUUAACUCCUACAUUACCUCCAUGAUAACUUGUGUAGAGAUAAUAGGGUGGUUGGUGUUAGGUUGUGAUCAUCUUGUUCCUUCACCUGUCAAAGUUUUAAUCAUCUCUUUAACGUGUUGGUCUGUGUUGUAGUUCUCGGUGAUUACGAGGGUAUAGAGCUGUGUGUGUUAUAUGUGUCUUGGUAAUAGUGUGAUAAGUGAGGAUGCCCACCCAGACCCCAGGUAGUAAGGUGGCCUCGGGAGAACCUGCUGAGAUUCGUGUAAAAAUUGCUUAUAGUGGUAUAACAAGAACUGGAGAAACGCAAAAUUACAAAAACUACAAUUCCUUCAUCUAUUUUGGGAUAUACUUGAGAGAGGUUUACAUUACCUACAUCCCACCAACACUAGAGGUGGAGGCACUGCAACAAGAGAUCCGAGCCAUAUGCAAGUUUGACUCCACCCAAGUGUUCACCCUCAAGUGGGUCGACGAGGAAGGGGACCCAUGCACCAUCUCAUCACAACAGGAGCUGGAUGAAGCACUCCGUCUGUAUGACCUCAACAAGGACUCCGAGCUAACAAUUCACGUGUUCCCCAACGUACCGGAGCCCGGGAUGGCCUGCCAGGGAGAGGACCGGAGUAUCUAUCGACGGGGAGCAAGACGAUGGAGGAAGCUGUACAAGGUCAACGGGCACAUCUUCCAGGCCAAGCGCUUCAACAGGCGUGCCUUCUGCGAAUUCUGCAAGGAUCGUAUAUGGGGUCUUGGCCGGCAAGGCUUCAAGUGCACCCAAUGCAAGCUCCUCGUUCACAAAAAGUGCCACAAGCUCCAGAAAGUGCCAUGUAAUGCAGACCUGGACACUUCCACUGACACUCUGGCAUCUCACGACAACUCGACACUCCCCAGGGCUGGCACCAAUGGCAGAAUGGCCGUGCAGGACUUUGCGGAGAUCUCGGACCCUGGGAUAACAGAAGAAACACCUGUGGAAAUGCCAACUAUCACAGGGAGUCGUAGUGAACCCAUGUCUCCCGCCGGCCAGGCAGGACAGUACUGCUUGGACGACUUUGAGCUCAUCCGUGUUAUUGGCCGGGGAUCUUACGCCAAGGUGUUGAUGGUCGAGCUGAAGAAAACUAAGAGGAUCUACGCCAUGAAGGUCAUCAAGAAAACGCUCGUCACUGAUGAUGAGGACAUAGAUUGGGUCCAGACAGAAAAGCACGUGUUUGAGACGGCCUCCAACCACCCGUUCUUGGUUGGUCUACACUCGUGCUUCCAGACUCCGUCCCGACUCUUCUUUGUAAUUGAAUUUGUUCGAGGAGGUGACCUUAUGUUCCACAUGCAAAGGCAGCGUCGCCUGCCCGAGGAGCACGCUAGAUUUUAUGCUGCUGAGAUCUGCUUAGCGCUUAACUUCCUGCAUGAAAAAGGCAUUAUUUACCGUGAUCUUAAAUUGGAUAACGUCUUACUUGACCACGAGGGGCACAUUAAACUAACCGAUUAUGGUAUGUGCAAAGAAGGCAUCCGUCCAGGCGACACUACCUCUACCUUCUGCGGGACACCAAACUACAUCGCACCAGAGAUUUUACAAGGUGUAGAAUAUAGCUUUAGCGUUGACUGGUGGGCAUUAGGAGUUCUACUUUAUGAGAUGUUAGCAGGCAAAAGUCCCUUUGAUAUUGUUGGGGCAUCUGACAACCCAGAUUGUAACACUGAAGACUUCCUCUUUCAAGUAAUAUUAGAGCGACCCAUCCGUAUCCCUCGGUCACUGUCCGUCAAAGCUGCCUCAAUCCUCAAGGGCUUCCUCAACAAAAACCCAGUUGACCGACUCGGGUGUCACCCAGAAACUGGCUUUACAGAUAUAGUUAGUCACCCGUUCUUCAAGACUAUAAUCUGGGAAAUGCUGGAAAGGAAACAGAUUCCACCACCAUACAAGCCACGGGUAGAUGGAGAAAGAGACCUUGAAAACUUUGACCCUCAGUUUACAGCUGAGCCUGUACAGUUUACUCCAGAUGAUCAUUGCAGCAGCGACAGGUACCCCCGCCAUAUCGCCCCAGGCUAGACUCUGACCGUGAUCUGGCAAACUUCCCACCAGAAUUUACAGAUGAGCCUAUUCAGCUAACCCCUGAUGAUGCGCGCGCCAUCGAGAACAUUGACCAGAGCGAGUUUGAGGGGUUCGAGUACGUGAACCCCCUGUUGAUGAGCAUGGAGGACUGUGUGUAGGCGAGGUACAGGGCGGCCUUGACCCUCCACACGGCCAGCCACUCACCUUACUGCUGCUGCCCCUCUACCCCAGUUCCUCCCUCCAUGUGGCCUCGCUCCCCCACCCACCUACGUGUAGCUGUGCUCAUUCUUAUGUGGCUACCACCCGAGCAUGUGCAUCCUCAGCGUCGACACACACUCAUCCAUAUAGACAAGCUUCUGUCUCUCUCUCUGGCCAUUUUCAUCCUCGUGUGUCCAUUUUCAUUCUCCUAUGGCCAUGUUCAUAUCCCAGCGGCCGAGCUCUUGGUGUUUUCAUUUUCAUCUUCUUCGUAUGGUCAUGUUCAUCUCCUCGUGGCCACAGUCGGUUCUUAUACGGUUACUCUUCGUGUAUGGCCAUGCUUUUCUCUCUGUGGCCACACUCAUUAAUAGUCAUUCAUCCUCAUGGGGCCACACUCCUUUAAUCGCAUGGACAAAGUAGGCCCUCUCAUGGCCCCUCUCACUUCCGGUGUGGCUGAAUGUAUCUUUCUGUUGGCCUUGCUUUUUUACCCAUAUGGCCAAGUGUAGCCUCUUUAUGGCCCGAC